AAAGUUCUGUAACACUUCGACUCUGAGUAAAUAGAAGUCAGUGCACUACAGAACUUUGU
rnacentral:pre_miRNA from 1 species